rnacentral:rRNA from 1 species
AUGGCCCACAAGACCGAGUGGACGUCGCACGGUCACCUGCGCAGGCGCGGCCGCGCGGGGAACUGGGAGACGACGUGCCCUUAUGGACACGUGGUGACCGUCAAUCUCAAGAUUUGUCGCCCUAGCCUCUCGGAGAAGUUUAUAGAGAUGACAGUAGAGGGCCAGGCGUGGCUUGGCGUCGCUAAGAGCCACGAGGUCAUCGCUGCCGGCCUCCGCGCACCAGCUGCUGCAAACCCCCCUGCGCCGUCGCCGUGGGACGCCUGCGUUCUGCUGCUCCAUUGCCGGCACCUGUCCCUGUGCGGCGCGUGCGAACCCGCCGUGAACACCUGCCCCGUGUGCGCGUCCACCAAGAACGCCUCGCUCCACGUCCUCCUUUCUUGA